rnacentral:rRNA from 1 species
AUUGAACGCUGGCGGCAUGCCUUACACAUGCAAGUCGAACGGCAGCGCGGGAGCAAUCCUGGCGGCGAGUGGCGAACGGGUGAGUAAUAUAUCGGAACGUGCCCUAGAGUGGGGGAUAACUAGUCGAAAGAUUAGCUAAUACCGCAUACGAUCUACGGAUGAAAGUGGGGGAUCGCAAGACCUCAUGCUCGUGGAGCGGCCGAUAUCUGAUUAGCUAGUUGGUAGGGUAAAAGCCUACCAAGGCCACGAUCAGUAGCUGGUCUGAGAGGACGAACAGCCAGACUGGGACUGAGACACGGCCCAGACUCCUACGGGAGGCAGCAGUGGGGAAUUUUGGACAAUGGGGGAAACCCUGAUCCAGCAAUGCCGCGUGUGUGAAGAAGGCCUUCGGGUUGUAAAGCACUUUUGUCCGGAACGAAACGGGCCGAGCUAAUAUCUUGGCCUAAUGACGGUACCGGAAGAAUAAGCACCGGCUAACUACGUGCCAGCCGCCGCCGUAA